rnacentral:lncRNA from 1 species
CAGGGAGAAUGAAUGUGAGGCAUAGGCUGCGUCUUGAAACCUAGUAAGCCGCCUACCUAGACAGCAUUUUUGGGUGUCAAUGCUAUGUUCUGUAUGUGUCUAGCUAGCUAGCUCACUAGUUAUUUUAGACACCGCCAUAAACAACAGAUAUCAAGUCAUCAUUUCAGCCACCAUUUUUUUCUUAUGGCGUAAAUAAAUUUAAACGUUAUUACUGUGCAUUAUUUGAGUAUUAGAGCGAUCUUUUCUUUAUGCCUGUUUUUUUAGGCAGUAAAACAGUCUUCUGGGUCCUGUUCUUCGACCGUGGUUUAACAUAUCCCGGAUUGACCUAGCUCGAUCUGAAAUUGAGUUUUUUCGGCUCUUCUAACACAUAUUUCGGAUUUAUGUAUCUAGCUAAUAAAGACAGCUGACCGUUCAUGUGAGGAUUUAUACAUUUGUCUAUCAUGGCUAAACAGCGUGCUGCAUUUUUCAGUGCUGCUGAAUUGCAACUUAUAAUGGAAGGAUAUGAGGAAGUUAAACAUUUAAUAAAAACCAAAGGGAACACUAUAGCGGCUGCAAAAGUCCGUCAGGAUGCGUGGCGAAAAAUAACUGCCAAAUUAAAUGCAUCCAACCCUAUGGGACCUAGAAGAACGUGGCAACAAGUGAAGACGAAAUACAAGAACAUCGUUCAAAGUGCUAACAAGAGAAAGGCUGCACUGAAGAAGAUGAGACUAGUCCCAACAAAAGAGGAGCACAUGGAUGAAGAGGAGCUGCCCCCUGAGAACAAUGUGGACAGUCCUAUCAUAGCGAGCAUAGUUGGUGGCUGCUGGUCUGAUCCAGGAGAUACAGCUGGCUGCAGCAGUUAUGUCACAGUGACUGAACAUGGACUGGCCCUACUUCAGCCACCUGUAUUAUCAGAUGAAGAGCUGGACUCUGAACCUGUGGAAGAUGUUAAGACACUAUACAAGAAGUAUCUCCAAGUAGAGAUCUCCAACAGAAAGCAAGAAAUGGCAUACAGAGCUUUAAAAAUCAGCACUGGGUUGUAUUUAACCCAGCAUUUUUUAGAGUGUAAUGUCAGCUAUAUAAUCCAUAAGUAUAAAUGUCUAACUAUGAAGAUAAACACAAAGGUGUGUAUAGCGCUUUUCACAAUAAAUAUUUUAACCACACAGCGUUAGAACUAAUAAAAAAAGCCCUUUAAAAGCCCAAAUGGGUUGCAAGCUGUAGGUGACUGAGGCUUGGUGAAACCUAAAGGUUAGUACAACACAAAUACAAACUAAUCUUGACAGAAUACGUGCAGUGCUUUACCCCACAUCACAUCAGAUGUUUUAUUUUUUUUAGUAAUUAUCAUACGUCUAAAAUACAAACUAUUCUUGAAAGCAUGUACAAUGCAAC